rnacentral:lncRNA from 14 species
AUGGGGAAAAAAUCCGAAAAAAUCAUGAAAAAUCCCCCCCAAAAAAACAGAAAAAAAUCUGCAAAAAAUCAGGAAAAAUCCCCAAAAAAGGGGAAAAAUAAUCUGCAAAAAAUCAGGAAAAACCCUAAAAAAACAGGAGAAAAAUCCACAAAAAAUCAGGAAAAGUCCCCCAAAAAUGGAAAAAAAAUCUGCAAAAAAAUCAGGAAAAAUCCCCCAAAAAAGUGGAAAAAAAGUCUACAAAAAAUCAGGAAAAAUCCUCCCCCAAAAAAGGAAAAAAUCUGCACAAAAAUCAGGAAAAAAUCCGGAAAAAUCCCCCCAAAAUUUGCACAAAAUCAGGGAAAAAUCAGGAAAAAUCCCCCCCCAAAAAUGGAAAGAAAUGUGCAAAAAAUCAGGGAAAAUCCCCAAAAAGACCAGGAAAAAAAUCCUCAAAAACUCAGGAAAAAAUCCCCCAAAAAACAGGAAAAAAUCUGCAAAAAAUCAGGGAAAAUCCCGAAAAAAGUGGAAAAAAGUCCACAAAAAAUCAGGAAAAAUCCCUCAAAAAUGGGAAAAAAUCCACAAAAAAUCAGAAAAAAUGCCCCCCAAAAAAGUGGAAAAAAGUCCAUAAAAAAUCAGGAAAAAUCCUCCCCAAAAAAAGGAAAAAUCCGGAAAAAAUCAGGAAAAAUCCCCCCAAAAACGGAAAAAAUCCGCAAAAAAAAAAAAAAAUCAGGAAAAAUGCCCCAAAAUCUGCAAAAAAAAAAAAUCCUCAAAAACUCAGGAAAAAUCCCCCACAAAACAGGAAAAAAAUUUGCAAAAAAUCAGAAAAAUAUCAGGAAAAAUCCCCCCAAAAAAACGGAAAAAAAUCUGCAAAAAUCAGGAAAAAAUCCCCAAAAAAUCUGGGAAAAUCCCCCAAAAAACGCGGAAAAAAAUCCCCAAAAAAUCCCCCAAAAAUCCCCAAAAACCCAGAAAAAAAAUCCGCAAAAAAUCAGGAAAAAUCCCCAAAAAACCCAGAAAAAAAAUCCGCAAAAAAUCAGGAAAAAUCCCCCCAAAAAAUGGAAAAAAAUCUGCAAAAAAUCAGGAAAAAGAAAAAAAAAUAAAUGGAAAAAAAUCCACAAAAAAUCAGGAAAAAUCCCCCAAAAAAAACCAGAAAAAAAUCCACAAAAAAUCAGGAAAAAUCCAAAAAAAAGGGAAAAAUAA